UACGUAGGGGGCUAGCGUUGUCCGGAAUCAUUGGGCGUAAAGCGCGUGUAGGCGGUCCGGUAAGUCCGCUGUGAAAGUCGGGGGGCUCAACCCUCGGAUGCCGGUGGAUACUGUCGGGCUUGAGUACGGAAGAGGCGAGUGGAAUUCCUGGUGUAGCGGUGAAAUGCGCAGAUAUCAGGAGGAACACCAAUUGCGAAGGCAGCUCGCUGGGACGUUACUGACGCUGAGCACGAGACGUGGGGAGCAAACAGG
rnacentral:rRNA from 1 species